UACGGAAGGCAGCAGGGGGGAAUAUUGCACAAUGGGCGCAAGCCUGAUGCAGCCAUGCCGCGUGUAUGAAGAAGGCCUUCGGGUUGUAAAGUACUUUCAGUCGUGAGGAAGGUGUUAAGGUUAAUAACCUUAGCAAUUGACGUUAGCGACAGAAGAAGCACCGGCUAACUCCGUGCCAGCAGCCGCGGUAAUACGGAGGGUGCGAGCGUUAAUCGGAAUUACUGGGCGUAAAGGGCACGCAGGCGGUUAAUUAAGUUGGAUGUGAAAUCCCCGGGCUUAACCUGGGAAUGGCAUUCAAGACUGGUUAGCUAGAGUCUUGUAGAGGGGGUAGAAUUCCAUGUGUAGCGGUGAAAUGCGUAGAGAUGUGGAGGAAUACCGGUGGCGAAGGCGGCCCCUGGACAAAGACUGACGCUCAUGUGCGAAAGCGUGGGGAGCAAACAGGGAUUAGAUCC
rnacentral:rRNA from 1 species